rnacentral:tRNA from 1 species
UGGUGUAGCUCAAUUGGCAGAGCAGCUGAUUUGUAAUCAGCAGGUUGCGGGUUCAAGUCCCUUCGCC